AUACCAAUUAUCUGGAGAUCUUGUUAAAAGUAGAUUUUGAUUCAAAAGUCUGGGAUGAGGCCCAAGAUUCUGCAUUUCUAACAAGCUCUCAAGUGAUUUCAAU
rnacentral:pre_miRNA from 1 species